rnacentral:rRNA from 1 species
AGCAGCCGCGGUAAUUCCAGCUCCAAUAGCGUAUAUUAAAGUUGUUGCAGUUAAAAAGCUCGUAGUUGAAUUUCGGGGUUCUACCGUUGGUCGGGCUUUGUCUGUACUGAUGUGUAGAAUUUCUACCUUCUGGGGAACCAUCAUGUUAUUAAUUUAGCGUGGUGGGAAACCAGGACCUUUACCUUGAAAAAAUUAGAGUGUUCAAAGCAGGCUUAUGUCUGAAUACAUUAGCAUGGAAUAAUAGAAUAGGACGGUGGUCCUGUUUUGUUGGUUUCUGAAUCACCGUAAUGAUUAAUAGGGAUAGUUGGGGGCAUUAGUAUUCAAUUGUCAGAGGUGAAAUUCUUGGAUUUAUUGAAGACUAACUUCUGCGAAAGCAUUUGCCAAGGAUGUUUUCAUUAAUCAAGAACGAAAGUUAGGGGAUCGAAGACGAUCAGAUACCGUCGUAGUCUUAACCAUAAACUAUGCCGACUAGGGAUCGGACGAUGUUAAUUUUUCUUGACCCGUUCGGCGCCUUACGGGA